rnacentral:misc_RNA from 1 species
AACCAUUCUCACCUGCGGCUAGACCUGCGGAAGGAUCAUUACAGAGAUUGAUGCACCAAGUGCAUCACCUCCAACCCCUUGCGAAAACAACUAUCAUGUGUUGCUUUGGCAGUGUUUCCACUGCCAGAGGUUUACAUAAAAUCAGCUGUUUGGUGUUGUCUGAGUAAACUAUAUGAAUUAUUUAAAACUUUCAACAAUGGAUCU